rnacentral:rRNA from 1 species
UACGGAGGGGGCUAGCGUUGUUCGGAUUUACUGGGCGUAAAGCGCACGUAGGUGGCUUUGCAAGUUAGAGGUGAAAGCCCGGGGCUUAACCCCGGAAUUGCCUUUAAAACUGCAUCGCUAGAACACAGGAGAGGUAAGCGGAAUUCCGAGUGUAGAGGUGAAAUUCGUAGAUAUUCGGAAGAACACCAGUGGCGAAGGCGGCUUACUGGACUGUUGUUGACACUGAGGUGCGAAAGCGUGGGGAGCAAACAGG